CAAUUUGUGUAAAGGUCUGCCUUAUUUCCACUACCUGGAGUCCAAAGCUAGUCAUACUACAACUUAGCUCCAUGUACCAACCAACCACACCGGUCAUACCUUGUGGAAUUCGAUGUUCUCUUCUUAUUUUCCACAUUCAUUUCUGCAUUCAAUAACCAAAGAACAAAACCUUGCAUUCAAUAUUAUAGCCAUAUGUCAUGCCCCGGACCCGAAGUCGGUAAUAAAAACUCGAACCCGAAUCCGAAACGUGAGUUAAAAGCUCAAUAAAUAAAUAAAAAUUUACACGGGUUGGAAAAUAAACUCCUCUUAUUAAAAAUAAUUCAUGAUCAAACAAAUCAAGAAUUCUUUACAACCUAUAGUAAAGAGAUGAAUAAACUUUCUAUUUUUCCAAUCUAAUCUGAUCUCGUCUUGCCUAUUCUCUUGAAUGUCUAGUUCAUAAACGUGCAUAAUAAUAAAGGGAUGAGCUUCAACAGCUCAGUAAGGACACACAGUAAAUUGACAGUAGUAAAUUAAGUAUCAUGAAAUCAUAUAGCCAAAUCUCAAAACAGCAAUUAUAACGAUGCAUGAAUGUCAUGCAACCUCUUCAGUUACCCCCGUUAAUUUAUAAAAUAAAACACGCGAACCUGCACGUCCCAUACCUUGCAUUUUACCCCUGCAGAGGUGGUUCGAAUGUUCUAUUAUAGAAACUAACCCCCAUAUGAUAUCCCAAGUUCAUAAACCCCUUUUGCUAGUCAUCUUAUCUAAUUCAUUGAUCUCCAGCCCAAAUCACCCACAUCAACAAUUCCCGUCAAUAUCCUAUUCUACUGUGCACAUCAGGCUCGCCUGGAACUGGUUUCACAAUGAAUAGAUUCAACUACACAAAAGAUCCUUUCCAACUACCCUCAUUUCCAUACUUCCAAUUUGAACAUUGAAAUUCCAACCACAUCAAUAUGAAUGAUGCACAAAUGAUGUCAUUUUAUCUUUCACAUAUUUCAUAGUAUAUUCUCAACGAAUAGCAUUCCAGCAAUAAUUUCAUAAUCAAUAACAAGUAAACACUUAACUGAAGCAAUUAGCGAAUUAAACUCAAUCAUAUAAAUCAACCAAAAAGAUCAAGAAUAUUAUAGCACUUUACGAAAUUUAAUAAAAUCAAUUUGUGUAAAGAUCUACCUUAUUUCCCCUACAUGGAGUCCAAAGCUAGUCAUACUACAACUUAGCUCCAUGUACCAACCAACCACACCGGUCAUACCUUGUGGAAUUCGAUGUUCUCUUCUUAUUUUCCACAUUCAUUUCUGCAUUCAAUAACCAAAGAACAAAACCAUAAUCCUGAAUUAACAACAGUAAGAGCACUUUAGCCAAACAAAUCUCAAUAGAUAUAUUUAUUAUAGGAAAACUUUCCUUUCUCUUCCUUCCUUAUCGCACAAUCCCAAAAUAUACAGAACCCGAUAUUAUUGGUAUUUGAACCCACCAACGGUACAGUAUACCAUAACAGCCAUAAACCCUAUAUACUUAAAGCUAAAUCUCUUUAUAUGUUAUCAAAAUAAGAAUCUGCUCAAAAACUAAUUUGAAUAACAGUGAGUAAUCUAAGAAUGAGAAGGAUAUAAAAUAUAGGGAUCAAUACCUCCAUACAUAACAUGCUAUUGGUUAACACCACAAGCCUUCUCAGUUUGCAGCUUCUUAUUCCUUUCUCUUAAACAUAUAUAAACUUCUUGCUACUUCUACUCUACUCUCUCUCUCU
rnacentral:lncRNA from 1 species